ACGUAGGGUGCAAGCGUUGUCCGGAAUUAUUGGGCGUAAAGAGCUCGUAGGCGGUUCGUCGCGUCGGCUGUGAAAACCCGGAGCUCAACUCCGGGCCUGCAGUCGAUACGGGCGGACUUGAGUGUUGCAGGGGAGACUGGAAUUCCUGGUGUAGCGGUGAAAUGCGCAGAUAUCAGGAGGAACACCGAAGGCGAAAGCAGGUGACUGGACCGUUAUUGACGCUGAGUCGCGAAAGCCGGGAGAGCAAACAGGA
rnacentral:rRNA from 1 species